CGGUUUUGAAGGAAUAAGUUCAGCUCUAUGCUUAUCGCAUAGAGCUUUUUUGUUGCACAAGACCGGCAAGCGAAUGGAUGCUUGCAUACAAAUUCAUUUGCCGGUUGUAAGAACAUGGAGCACGAAGUGCGGAAUGUUCGUGUGCGAAAUCG
rnacentral:misc_RNA from 1 species